AAGGCUUUAUGUUAAACAAACAAAUAGCCUUCAAAGCUAUAAAUAAAGGGGUAAUCUUUUAAGCCUUA
rnacentral:tRNA from 1 species